rnacentral:rRNA from 1 species
CCUACGGGCGGCAGCAGUGAGGAAUAUUGGUCAAUGGACGAGAGUCUGAACCAGCCAAGUAGCGUGAAGGAUGACUGCCCUAUGGGUUGUAAACUUCUUUUAUAUGGGAAUAAAAUGUUCCACGUGUGGGAUUUUGUAUGUACCAUAUGAAUAAGGAUCGGCUAACUCCGUGCCAGCAGCCGUGGUAAUACGGAGGAACCGAGCGUUAUCCGGAUUUAUUGGGUUUAAAGGGGGCGUAGGUGGUUUGUUAAGUCAGGUGUGAAAGUUUGCGGCUCAACCGUAAAAUUGCAGUUGAAACUGGCAGUCUUGAGUACAGUAGAGGUAAGCGGAAUUCGUGGUGUAGCGGUGAAAUGCUUAGAUAUCACGAAGAACUCCGAUUGCGAAGGCAGCUCACUGGACUGCAACUGACACUGAGGCUCGAAAGUGUGGGUAUCGAACAGGAUUAGAUACCCCGGUAGUC